rnacentral:tRNA from 1 species
GCUUUCGUGGUGUAGUGGUCAGCACGCUCGACGCGUAACCGAGAGGUCCGUGGUUCGAUUCCCGGCUAAGGCC